CCCCUCUCAGGGUCGCACCUGGAGAGUUUCCAGUACUCUACCACUUUUGGCUACGGGAAGGAGAAUCAAGCAGAGGCCUACCCAUUUCAUUCCUAACUUGGGCAGUGGCUAGCGAGUGGAAGGCAAACUGCAACAAGU